rnacentral:lncRNA from 1 species
AGCAGAGGGGUUGAGACUCGAUGAUCUUUGAGGUCCUUUUCAACCCAGGCCAUUCUAUGAUUCUAUGAUCCUAAUUUGUCCAUCUGUUUUUUCUGGCUUCUAAUGACAUAGACUUUCUCUGAGGCAGGGGUCAAACCCUGGAAGAUAAAAUGAUGAACUGAGUUCUGCAGAAAAAUGCGAAGAGGUGUAUUUUUAGAAUUAUAAUUGUCUCACUUACUCAUCUGUAAAACAAGCUUUUACUUGCCUCUGCUCUUUCUGUGGGCAGUGACUGAUGAUGGUCCUGGCAUGCUAAGAUGGAUGUUCCAAAUGCAAAGCAUGAUCAAACCUCACUUACUGUGUUCAUUGCUCUGGAGGAAGCGCCAUUCCUGGUAGCUGUGUAUACAGGAAUUGUAUAUAUAUAUAUAUUUGUACAUAUGGCAUAUUGAAACAGAAUACACCAAAUUUCAUUUUAUGCUGCCACUAGUUAGUGUGUGAGAGCUUGAAAGGACACCAGCAGCCUAUAUUCCUUAAGACCCAAGAGCCAUGGGAAAAGAUCCAUUUUUUUAUAUUGUACUAAUUUCAAAAAUGCUGGGUUUUAGUGCAGCAAAGUAAAAAAAAAAAAAAAAAAAGGCAAAAAGGAAAAAGGAAAGACAGAAAGACCUGUACAAUCAUUUGGAGUUUUUUUUUCUUUUCUGUUAGUGCUCUAUUCAGGAAAUGCGAUGUGACUAUAUAUGGGAUAGGAAUGAAACCACAUAUCACAACCCACUGUCAAGUUCAUGAGAUGGCCACAUUGAAAAAAUAGUGAAAAAUGUGUUCUUGCCUUCCUCACCCAUAGGAGUCCUGGUUGUGGCUUGCCAUUGUAGUGUGAAGAUUUGCAUUUUAAAGUUGGCGGUUUUCCUUUUUACUCUUCCGCUUCCUACCAGCUAAUUCGGCGUUGUGCUAAUUGUGAUUCUGGAAUGCAAAUAAACUCACCUGCUUGUUUUUCUUUCGAUUUCAGGUUUUCGAACUAUGGAAGCUCUCUGGAGGAGCUGCACCAUGCGCUGCCGACCCCAGAGUGGGGAGGGAGGAGGAGCUGCGGUGUACCUUUGCAUGGAGGACUUGUGGAAAAACAUUGAUAUGAUUGAGACAGCCAUACUGUUGUGGUGAGAGGUGAGCAGAUGCCACUAUCAGAAAACACAUUUAAAGUUUUGUCUAGCACUUUUAUUUUUCAUUCUUCCUGCCUACCCUGCUUCAGUUUUCCAGGUUAAACUCGUGCAUGAAGGACAUGUCUUAUUAUUUUGGGUAUUCUGUGUUCUUCAUUGUUAUUUAGAUACAUAACUUGCAGAAUAUUGCUUCUAGCAG